UACCAGCACCCCGAGUGGUCGGGACGAUUAUUGGGCCUAAAGCAUCCGUAGCCGGUUCUACAAGUCUUCCGUUAAAUCCACCUGCUUAACAGAUGGGCUGCGGAGGAUACUAUAGAGCUAGGAGGCGGGAGAGGCAAGCGGUACUUAGUGGGUAGGGGUAAAAUCCGUUGAUCCAUUGAAGACCACCAGUGGCGAAGGCGGCUUGCCAGAACGCACUCGA
rnacentral:rRNA from 1 species